rnacentral:rRNA from 1 species
AUUGAACGCUGGCGGCAUGCCUUACACAUGCAAGUCGAACGGUAACGCGGGGCAACCUGGCGACGAGUGGCGAACGGGUGAGUAAUGUAUCGGAACGUGCCCAGUUGUGGGGGAUAACUGCUCGAAAGAGCAGCUAAUACCGCAUACGACCUGAGGGUGAAAGCGGGGGAUCGCAAGACCUCGCGCAAUUGGAGCGGCCGAUAUCGGAUUAGGUAGUUGGUGGGGUAAAGGCCCACCAAGCCAACGAUCUGUAGCUGGUCUGAGAGGACGACCAGCCACACUGGGACUGAGACACGGCCCAGACUCCUACGGGAGGCAGCAGUGGGGAAUUUUGGACAAUGGACGCAAGUCUGAUCCAGCCAUGCCGCGUGCGGGAAGAAGGCCUUCGGGUUGUAAACCGCUUUUGUCAGGGAAGAAAUCUUCUGGGCUAAUACCCCGGGAGGAUGACGGUACCUGAAGAGUAAGCACCGGCUAACUACGUGCCAGCCGCCGCAGUAAUAC